GGGGUCUUUUCGAACUGAGCGUCAGUCUUUGUCCAGGGGGCCGCCUUCGCCACCGGUAUUCCUCCAGAUCUCUACGCAUUUCACCGCUACACCUGGAAUUCUACCCCCCUCUACAAGACUCUAGCCUGCCAGUUUCGAAUGCAGUUCCCAGGUUGAGCCCGGGGAUUUCACAUCCGACUUGACAGACCGCCUGCGUGCGCUUUACGCCCAGUAAUUCCGAUUAACGCUUGCACCCUCCGUAUUACCGCGGCUGCUGGCACGGAGUUAGCCGGUGCUUCUUCUGCGGGUAACGUCAAUCGACAAGGUUAUUAACCUCACCGCCUUCCUCCCCGCUGAAAGUGCUUUACAACCCGAAGGCCUUCUUCACACACGCGGCAUGGCUGCAUCAGGCUUGCGCCCAUUGUGCAAUAUUCCCCACUGCUGCCUCC
rnacentral:rRNA from 1 species